CGAGAACACACCCUUUCCAGUUUGCUGGAGAAAUAUAAGAGAAGUCCAGUGAAAGAGAGCUGAGUUUCCCCAAUGAUGCCAUCAAGAUGAACUAACUACAGUUAACCAGCCAGCUGAUAGCAGAUGCAUGAGUGAGCCCAGCUGAGAGCAGUGCCUACAAUAGUUCCUGGUAUGUAGAAGGUAUACAAUAAAUAUUGGCGGAGUGAAGGAACAAAUGGGAUUUGCUUGAUUCUGCUGCAGAAGACUAAGAAAAAGACAUAAAUGAAUAAAUAACUAGUAGAAUGUUAACACAAUCAGAAAAAGGACCAUUUCUUUUCAUUUGGAUGUCUCAAAUCUAUUUGUUGUUUUUGUUGUUGUUGUUUUUCUGGCUGGGCUUGAAAUGUAGGCAUGCAGCCAGGAGGCUCCAUGCUGACUAAUGAGAUAGAGGUACCCAUUUAGCCCAGCAAUAUUCAUACAUUGUAUAUGCAUUCAUUUUUCUCUAGUGACUUUUUAAUAUAUUUUGGUGAAGAUAUUCCCAAGAUAAUGAAGAUAUGUUGAGUGGGCAUUAAAAGUGAUGAGUCUUUUUUUCCAUUAUCAAAGACAAAUACAGGUGUGUGAUGUAUGCAGAGAAUUAGAAGUAGGGAAAAAAAUGAGGGAAUCCAAAAUAAUGAAAAGAAAUUAAAGCUCUCCAAUAAUCGAAAGAAAGGCCAAACUGAAAACAUAAAUCUCCAGACUCUGCAAGGAUUUAUACUGAUGUGGGGCAUGUGGACCAAUGGCUUUCAGGAUGUGAUUCAUUUUGAAAAAAGUGUCAUUUCCAUUGCCAAGUAGAGUUCAUGGUUUAGUGAAAAUUUCAUCUUCAGUCUGAUCACAUGAGCCAAAUUCUGGCCCUAUAUAUUCUGAUGUGAGGAAUGAAGUAUUUCUAGUUUAUUUGUGAGAUUCCAAGCAUAAUAUCCAGGAGGGUUAGUCACAUUACAGCUAAGGUAAGAUUUUGUUAUAUUUGUGUUAGUCCUUAUUCUAGGCACUGAAAUUUCCUUGUAACAUUACUUGAAAAAGCAUAAGAACUAUUUAAUGAAAGAAUGCUUUGGCUCUGCCCAAAUGACCAAGAAAGACAUCAACUCACUUAUAACACAGUCUUGAUGGUCAGACCAAAAGGUACGUGAUUGUCAAUUAUUUUCAGCAGAGACUCAUAGAACAACAAAGCAGGGAAGAAUCUGAACAGGGAUUGGACUUUAA
rnacentral:lncRNA from 10 species